AUUGAACGCUGGCGGCAGGCUUAACACAUGCAAGUCGAGCGGGGUGAUGGUGCUUGCACUAUCACUUAGCGGCGGACGGGUGAGUAAUGCUUAGGAAUCUGCCUAUUGGUGGGGGACAACUUCUCGAAAGGGAUGCUAAUACCGCAUACGUCCUACGGGAGAAAGCAGGGGAUCACUUGUGACCUUGCGCUAAUAGAUGAGCCUAAGUCGGAUUAGCUAGUUGGUGGGGUAAAGGCCUACCAAGGCGACGAUCUGUAGCGGGUCUGAGAGGAUGAUCCGCCACACUGGGACUGAGACACGGCCCAGAGUCCUACGGGAGGCAGCAGUGGGGAAGAUUGGACAAGGGGGGGAACCCUGAUCUAGCCAUGCCGCGUGUGUGAAGAAGGCCUUAUGGUUGUAAAGCACUUUAAGCGAGGAGGAGGCUCUUUUGGUUAAUACCCAAGAUGAGUGGACGUUACUCGCAGAAUAAGCACCGGCUAACUCUGUGCCAGCAGCCGCAGUAA
rnacentral:rRNA from 1 species